GAGGAGUUGUUAUCACCAUGCCAGUCAAGGCUAAGAAGAAAGGAGCUUUCUGAGCAUGGCUGGGGAAAGGAGGGUCUCCCUGACCUUGUCUGCAGUACCCUGGCAGCCCAAGCAGUGCACACCUCGCUGGAGCUCUUGCUUUGAAGAACUGUGCCUGACUUCAAGGUGAUUGUGAAUGCAGAGCAUGACCCAUUUUAAACAGCUGUUGGAGUACCUGAGAGCAACAGAGCACAAGGAGAUGAGAAUAAAAGACAUUUGUUCCAAGUAUAAAUGCACAGGCCAUUUUGUGUGAGGAGACCAGACCCUUUUCCUUUACUCUCCUGCAUCUUGUAGCUUCUUUGAGGAGGCUGGUGGGAAGAGGUUAAAGGUUACCUAGAGCUGCCAGUGAGAGUGAAAAAUGGUGGAGAGCGCCCCUGUUCUUGACUAAAAGAAACCUUGGAAACUUGAAACAAAUUCCCAGGAAUGCUGUUGUCUGUUGUGCUCAGGCUGCCUCCAAGUACACAAGUCUUCCUGGGAAAGAGAGUGCUGCCAUGGAAGACUCCUUCCAGGUGAAAAAAGCUGUGGUGUUCUGCAAGAAUUGUCACCAACAAAGAAUUGCAGAAAUUCAAAGGGCAAGACAAAGAGAUAAUAGACCAUUGUUCAGGACUCCAUAUGUAAUCAUAGACAACACAACUUGAGCAGGAUCCUGAACCCAUCCUGACAGAUGGUGGUCCAGCCUCUAGCCAGGACAGGGAGAUUAGGUUAACCCAAACAGGCCUGGCCUAAACAAGCUGGUAAAUCAGGAGGGCACAUGAAACACGGCAUGGAGUCUGAUUCAAAUCCUAUUGUGGUGGAAAAAUCUCUGACUAUCAUCAAAACUGACCAAACUCUUAUUAACAAUAUAAAUACACACAGACAAAAAAAUAUAUAUAUUAUAUGGGACUUGUGGCUAGACAAGAUCCUUAUCAAGCUACACUGAAGUAUGUAAUGUGAGUUGCAGUGAGGUAAAAGAGCUCAGUGCAAUGACCAAAGGGGCUGUCUUGGGUGCAUGAUGAAGUAAAAUCUGAAUGGCUGGGUAUCUGGAUCUAGCUAGAAACAGUGACUCCUUAAAGCUAGCCCUCAAGGGGGUUUGUUGUGAAUCUGGCCAGUGUACAAAUUUUCAUUUUCAACACUGACUGGAAAAUCCUGUCACUAAGGAACUAUUCUCAGGAAAAAAAAAAACCCCACACUUGCAAUGUUCUGUCAAAACACACCAACCAACCAACACAGCUUUUAGGUAACAGAAAAAUGGAAAAAUCUUGUUUUUGCAUUUUAUUUAUACUCCAGUGUCUGUGUUAGUAUGGUGGUCCAGAGCAGCAAAUGCAAAUCCCCUGUGCAUGCCCAGUUAGCAGGAACUGGUUUACUUUGCAGAGUGUGCACCAGCCCAAUAGCUCAGGGAGAAUGCUAAGCCAGAGCUGGUUUGGAUGCACAGCUGGAUAAGCUGCAGUCCAUACUGGAAACCUGGGAGUCUGAGUCAAUGCAUGGUUCUUUGGAGAGUUAAAACACAUCCUUGGUGGGAACAUUUGAUUCAAGCAACCAGACCACCUCAUCCAAAGAAAAGCUCCCAAAGUGCCAACAGGUCAGAUGGAGGGGUUUUGGCACCAAGGAGCUUCAGUGUACUGAUCCACCUGUGUUGCAGAAAAUAACUUUAGACACAGCCUGACUGACUCAAAAGAUGCCAAGUGUUUUCUAUUCCCUAAUGAACAGUUCCAGAGCUGUUAUUCCAGUUCACAGCAAAUUACCACAGCCAAAAUAUAAUAAAUAAAUCAGUGUUUAUACAAAGUCAUGAGGAAAAGUGCAGCAGAUUAGACACUCAUUAGAGAUUAAUUUCCAAACUAUAGACUGAACAAAGAACUGAUGUGAUAAAAAAGUUUUCACUUAAACAAACCCACAAGGUUCUGGUCAUAUUAUGAAAACAGAUAAUGCAUUCUUAUUGGCUUUUCAUGUUUAAC